AGUAAUAUCUGGGAAACUGCCUGAUGGAGGGGGAUAACUGCUGGAAACGGUAGCUAAUACCGCAUAACGUCGCAAGACCAAAGAGGGGGACCUUCGGGCCUCUUGCCAUCGGAUGUGCCCAGAUGGGAUCAGCUAGUAGGUGGGGUAACGGCUCACCUAGGCGACGAUCCCUAGCUGGUCUGAGAGGAUGACCAGCCACACUGGAACUGAGACACGGUCCAG
rnacentral:rRNA from 1 species